rnacentral:rRNA from 1 species
AACGAACGCUGGCGGCGUGCCUAACACAUGCAAGUCGAACGUGAAAGUCCUUCGGGAUGAGUAAAGUGGCGCACGGGUGAGUAAUGCGUAGACAAUCUGCCUGGUGAUCAGGGAUAACACUUCGAAAGGGGUGCUAAUACCGGAUAAGCCCACGGAGUCCUAGGAUUCUGCGGUAAAAGGGGGGGACCUUCGGGCCUUCUGUCAUCAGAUGAGUCUACGUACCAUUAGCUAGUUGGUGGGGUAAGAGCCCACCAAGGCGACGAUGGUUAGCUGGUCUGAGAGGAUGAUCAGCCACACUGGAACUGAGACACGGUCCAGACUCCUACGGGAGGCAGCAGUGGGGAAUUUUGCGCAAUGGGGGAAACCCUGACGCAGCAACGCCGCGUGAGUGAUGAAGGCCUUCGGGUCGUAAAGCUCUGUCAGAGGGAAAGAAAUGUGGGUGGCUAAUAUCCAUUCCACUUGACGGUACCCUCAAAGGAAGCACCGGCUAACUCCGUGCCAGCCGCCGCCGUAAAAC